GAGAGAGAGAGAGAGCACGCUAGGCUGCUAAACUAUCGAUAUUAUUUGACCGGUGAUUAAAAGGUCUCAAUAUUGGCAAUCUUAAUAGUUGAUGUGAUGAGUUUGUAAAUUUAAUAAUAUAAAGCAAUUCAAAUCUAAUAAAAUUUUUAUGAAAAAUUUUCUUCACUAUUUAAAUUAAGAUCAGUAUCUUUAAUCUUAAAUUCAAAUAUUUUAUCGUCAUUUUUUAUGAGAUUUUUAUUUCAGCCGUUUAUUUUUAGAUUACUUAUUCAAUAAGUAAAUGAUAUUGAAAAAUUAUGAAGUUUAAUUUUUUAAUAUUUUCAAUAGUGUAAAUUAAGCCUAACGGAGCCGAUCGUCAAUUUGGAAAACAUAUUAUCGAAAACAAUUUGCUAGUAUGAAGGCCUCCGUACUACCGAUAGUAUAGCAGCUGAACUCAUAUAUAUAAAUAGAGUUGAACUGGAAUGUUAUUAGUAGUAAACGAGCGGCGUUGCCACCCAUUUAUUUUCGUUGAUGAAGUUUUCAAAUCAACGAUCAACACCAUUGAACAUGAUCCAUACCAUUUGAAGUAUGUAGAAACUAAAUUUAAUUUCAUAUUUUCACGGUAUUGUUCUCUUAUUUAUCAAGUGGGCAUAAAAAUGAAUGACUGGAAAUAAAUAUUCUUUGAAAAGUGACAAUAUAAGUCUAGUAAUCAAGAUAAAAAAUAUAGAUCUUGUUUUAAAUAGUUUAAAUAAUUUUCUAAUAAAAAUUCAAUUGAUUUAGAUAUCUUUACACUGUUAAACGAAAAAACGUCUCAUAUCGACUAUUAAAAUUAUAAAUUUUGAAACUCUUUGAUUAUUGGGUCAAUGAUGUCGAAAAUAUUUAAACUUUGGUUUCUAAAUAUUUCAAAUUAUACAGAUCAUGUUCAACGGCACCGAUCAUCGAUUUAAAAGUUUCAUCAUCGAAAAUAAAUGAAUAACAACAGAGCUUAUUUGCUAUUAAUAACAUUCUAGCUCAACUCUGUAUAUAUGAAUAUAUAUAU
rnacentral:lncRNA from 1 species